rnacentral:rRNA from 1 species
UGCGCAGGCGGUUUUGUAAGACAGGCGUGAAAUCCCCGGGCUCAACCUGGGAAUGGCGCUUGUGACUGCAAAGCUGGAGUGCGGCAGAGGGGGAUGGAAUUCCGCGUGUAGCAGUGAAAUGCGUAGAUAUGCGGAGGAACACCGAUGGCGAAGGCAAUCCCCUGGGCCUGCACUGACGCUCAUGCACGAAAGCGUGGGGAGCAAACAGGAUUAGAUACCCCCGUA